rnacentral:rRNA from 1 species
CUUAACACAUGCAAGUCGAACGAGAAAGGAAGAGCUUGCUCUUCCUGAAAGUGGCGAACGGGUGAGUAACGCGUGGGUAACCUACCCUUUGGAAAGGAAUAGCCUCGGGAAACUGGGAGUAAUGCCUUAUAAGAUACGUUUGUCGCAUGGCAUUUGUAUUAAACGCUCCGGCGCCAUAGGAUGGACCCGCGUCCCAUUAGCUAGUUGGUGAGAUAACAGCUCACCAAGGCCACGAUGGGUAACCGGUCUGAGAGGGCGAACGGUCACACUGGAACUGAGACACGGUCCAGACUCCUACGGGAGGCAGCAGUGGGGAAUAUUGCGCAAUGGGGGCAACCCUGACGCAGCAAUACCGCGUGAGUGAAGAAGGUUUUCGGAUCGUAAAGCUCUGUUAUUGGGGAAGAAAAAAAGACGGUACCCAAGAAGAAAGUUCCGGCUAACUACGUGCCAGCAGCCGCGGUAAUACGUAGGGAACAAGCGUUGUCCGGAUUUACUGGGCGUAAAGGGCACGCAGGCGGUUUUUUAAGUCAGAUGUGAAAGGCCACAGCUCAACUGUGGACAUGCAUUUGAAACUGAAAGACUUGAGUAUUGGAGAGGCAAGUGGAAUUCCUAGUGUAGCGGUGAAAUGCGUAGAUAUUAGGAGGAACACCGGUGGCGAAGGCGGCUUGCUGGACAAAUA